UUGUAGUGAAUGUGACACAGACCUCCUAUCAGGCAGAGGAGAACCACAACAUCACACUGGAAUGGACGUUCACAACCACAGCUGACACUUCCCCCGACUCCCUUUUCAUCUUUUGUGAGAUGGUAGCUGAUCACAAAGGCGCAGUCCUUUUUGAACUACAUGGAGGUGUUGUGGUCCCAGAGUCUCAGGAUCAACAGUUUGUAGGACGAGUCCAUUUGGACAAAGACGUCCUCAGAGAUGGACGACUCAGACUUCAUAUGUCCAGACUCAGGACUGAGGACUCAGGCUGGUACCUGUGUCAUGUGAAGACAAACUAUGGUGUGGACUCAGGUGAAUGCUGGCUCAAUGUCUCUGCAGUGAGGAAUUGGCCUGAACCUGAGAGACCCAACACAGACACACCUGAGAGACCAAACAGUGAGAGAGCGAACAGGGUCAGUUGGGGAAUGAUCUUCCUCUACUGUGGACUGGGAUUGACAGCAGCUGUGGGUGUUGUGUGGUUUCAUCGCCUUUAUUUAUUCACUGUCUUGUUCUAGAAACAAAGUCCAGAGGAGGAUUUAAGAAACGUAACAGCUGAAGCAGGACCAGUUUGACCAGUCAUCAACGUAGCAGACAGUUAAAAUACAUCCUGACUUCAUAUUGUUCAGUAAGUGUCCAUAAUAUAAGAGUUAGAGGUGAAAAACAAUAAUGGAGUUGAUGAAGGAAACAUUGUUCUUCACCUUUGUUGUCCAUUAUUUUGACAGGACUUCUCAUCAAACUCUGUCACUUAUUAGACAGAUCUGAAAUCUGCUCUGUGUUCACUUUACUGAAAUAAUGCUGAGAAACAUGUCGACCUCAUACACCAUGUGUAGCAACUCUGUGCACUUUAUAUUGUUAACAUUUCCAUUUCUAGCUCUAUAUGAUGAAUUAGCCCUUAAUAAGAUAUGACAUUAACACUGACAGUAUAUCCUGUAUAUCCUGUACUGGCCUCCUGCAGGAUGUGAAGAAGAAUCAGGUGAAAUUUAGAGCAGAGAACGUUCACUUUGCGUUGUAUGUUUGUUAUGUUCACAUUUCUGUUUGUGUUGUUUUAUUAUCAAGAUUUUAUUUACUGUCUAGAUUUUAAGAACAGAUUUAACUUUCCCUCGUGGAACUUUAACAUCUUCUUGUUGUAAUGCUGCAGUUCAAACUGAAAUGAAGCGCUGCUGUUUGAUUUGUGUUUGUCCAUUCAACAUCCUUCACUGUCAGAUCUCUAAAUGUCACAGCUGGUUCAGUAAAUCACUGUAUGGAGAGUUUUCACUCUGUGCCUUCUGAUCGUUACAGUACACUGCCUCUCCUAAUGUUCUGUUUAUAAUGUGUACAUAUUGUAAAUAAAUCUAUAUUUAUAUGAGA